AAGCCGCGAGGUGGAGCUAAUCUCACAAAACCGAUCGUAGUCCGGAUCGCAGUCUGCAACUCGACUGCGUGAAGUCGGAAUCGCUAGUAAUCGCGAAUCAGAAUGUCGCGGUGAAUACGUUCCCGGGCCUUGUACACACCGCCCGUCACACCAUGGGAGUGGGUUGCACCAGAAGUAGCUAGUCUAACCUUCGGGAGGACGGUUACCACGGUGUGAUUCAUGACUGGGGUGAAGUCGUAACAAGGUAGCCGUAGGGGAACCUGCGGCUGGAUCACCUCCUUA
rnacentral:rRNA from 1 species